rnacentral:rRNA from 1 species
UACGAAGGGGGCUAGCGUUGUUCGGAAUCACUGGGCGUAAAGGGCGCGUAGGCGGCUUGGCAAGUCAAAGGUGAAAUCCCUCGGCUCAACUGAGGAACUGCCUUUGAAACUGCCUGGCUUGAGGCCGGGAGGGGGUAGCGGAAUUCCCAGUGUAGCGGUGAAAUGCGUAGAGAUCGGGAAGAACAUCAGUGGCGAAGGCGGCCUGCUGGGCUGUUGCUGACGCUGAGGCGCGACAGCGUGGGGAGCAAACAGG